rnacentral:rRNA from 1 species
AACGAACGCUGGCGGCGCGCCUAAUACAUGCAAGUCGAGCGAGAAGACGUAGCAAUACGUUUGUAAAGCGGCGAACGGGUGAGGAAUACAUGGGUAACCUACCCUCGAGUGGGGAAUAACUAGCCGAAAGGUUAGCUAAUACCGCGUACGCUCCUUGGACUUCGGUUCAGGGAGGAAAGCGAUACCGUGGGUAUCGCGCUCUUGGAUGGGCUCAUGUCCUAUCAGCUUGUUGGUGAGGUAACGGCUCACCAAGGCUUCGACGGGUAGCUGGUCUGAGAGGACGAUCAGCCACACUGGCACUGCGACACGGGCCAGACUCCUAUGGGAGGCAGCAGUAAGGAAUAUUGCGCAAUGGGCGAAAGCCUGACGCAGCGACGCCG